rnacentral:rRNA from 1 species
UACGGAGGGUGCAAACGUUGCUCGGAAUCAUUGGGCGUAAAGCGCACGUAGGCGGCCUGUUAAGUCGGAUGUGAGAGCCCCGGGCUCAACCCGGGAAGUGCAUUCGAAACUGGCGGGCUUGAAUAUGGAAGAGGGUCGCGGAAUUCCCGGUGUAGAGGUGAAAUUCGUAGAUAUCGGGAGGAACACCAGUGGCGAAGGCGGCGACCUGGGCCAAUAUUGACGCUGAGGUGCGAAAGCGUGGGGAGCAAACAGG